UACGGAGGGGACUAGCGUUGUUCGGAAUUACUGGGCGUAAAGCGCACGUAGGCGGAUUUGUAAGUCAGGGGUGAAAUCCCGAGGCUCAACCUCGGAACUGCCUUCGAUACUGGCGAUCUUCGAGUCCGGGAGAGGUGAGUGGAACUCCGAGUGUAGAGGUGAAAUUCGUAGAUAUUCGGAAGAACACCAGUGGCGAAGGCGGCUCACUGGCCCGGUACUGACGCUGAAAUACGAAAGCGUGGGGAGCAAACAGG
rnacentral:rRNA from 1 species